rnacentral:lncRNA from 1 species
ACUUACAAUGUUCCUCAAUUACCUUAUGAUCCGUUAGUCAAUGUUCAGCUCUUACCGAGUUCAUAAAUCAUCUGAGCCAAUCUCCCCAACCCGCAGACCGCCCCCCAAGUCCUCUUUAGCCCUCUCUGGAAAUCAGUCAGCAUUUACGUACACAUCACAUUUAAGUAUACACUGCUGAACCCUACAGGCAGAAAUUCAUUUCUUUCACAAAUAUUUACAGAAUUCCUACCACGUGCAUGGCACUAGAAUGAAUGCUAGGGAUAGAAGCCCAAACUCCAUUUCCGUAAGGACUAGAAUCUCAUUCCUGCCCUCCAAGAGCUUACAAUGUAACACUGUGCUAAGAGGCUCUGAACCUACAUAUGUAACUUUUAAUUAUACCAUGCUGACUUAAUAGCAUGGCAGGUGAUCACCCUAGAUGUUAAUACAAACUUUACAUUCCUGUUGACACACUAAAAGAUCUAUCAUCUAAAAACCAAAACAGGCCAGAAUUAAAAUCUGGCUACAGACUAAAACUUCAGGAAUGAAGUUCUGUCUAAACCAUUUUCAGACUUCCAGCAUUUUUUUACUACUCACUUUUUUUCUCAGUUAUUUUAGCCAAGAGCAAAUGAGCGUUAGGCAUAACCUUAAGAGCUAGAGAAGAGCAUGUUUGUAAUUAUAAAAGGCUCAUUAUGCUCCUCUGCAUCCCCAGAUCCCCAUUCAAAGAAAGGGCUGUACAACUAACUCCGGACAACAGAUAUAAUUGGCUUGCCUUUCUUCAUUAAUAUUAAAUUUGUGGGAGACAGUCUUGGCGUUUUCACUGCAGUGAACUCGUGAAGUUGAACAAUCUCCAAAGAGAUGAAACUUUAAAAAGCCUAUUCGAAGUUAAAGUCAAAUCACACCAGGCAAUUUAACUUUGCCUCGGAUUUUCCACAACCUUACAAAAAUUACAAAGUUCUUCUAAGUUCCUCCAUCAAAAGGCCAAAUUCCUGGUUUUUUCUUUCAACAAAAUGGAUGCGUCACAAUCUUAUUUACAUCUUGCCGUUUUAACCAAGACCUCCUUGAAUCCCAAGCCUAGGUCUACACUUCCAGGCCCCUGAGAAGACCUAAGAACGAUCAAGAAGGGAUGCGCGGGUAAGCGUUGUCAUCACAACAUUAAAGAUUUCGAAACUCCCAGACCACCAGAAAGCGUAGAGUAUGGGGAAGAAAACCAAACCCAGCAACUCUAAGAGGCAAACUAGACCGGGAGGAAACAAUCGGCCCCCAGGACAAAAAGCACAUUCACACCUCUCCGUGCAACCCACUCAUCCCUUUAUACUCGCAGCGCUGCAGCCAAAGCACAAAGUUCUUUCUUUUCACCCAGAGUCUGUGCCUGUCGCGGUUAAACAUGAACGGAGGAAAAUUCCUAGUCAGAACCCAGAGGGGUAGGACGGGGCUUGGAGUGUGGGGACAACGCCAAGCAGGGAGCUGUCCAGGGGCACUGCCCGCCCGGGGUCUCCAGCUGUGAAGUUGCGCUCCUCGGGAGAUUCCUGGGGUCAGAACGAGAGGCUGGAGUCGGAGCGAGGCACAAGGGAUGCGGGAGAAGAAAGGAGUGGGGCCGAAGAGGUAGCCAAAGAGAAUGGGGCUCCGAGGCGAGAGAGAAAGGACUGGAAGGGGCAAAGGGCGGCCAAGGAGGGCGAAAAGGGGAAGCUGCCGCUGGGCGGGAGACGGCGGAGGAGCGAGACGGGGCGGGGGACCGCGGGAGGACGGGAAGGCGGGAAGGGGAGAGAGCGUGGAGCUCGGAGCUCCAGCAGGCACAGGCCGCGGCAGAUAAGGGGGCGCGGAGAGGCCCAGGCCCGGCCCAGGCAGGAGGCGUCGGGAGACGACGCGACCCAAGGCGGGCGGGCCCGGGGAAAACCGCCCGCGGCCAGACCGGCAGUGGAAGCUGAGACGCAGUGCUGCGGCCCCUCCCCGUCACGUCAGGGCACUUACCUCCUCGCAGCUGGGACGCUCCGGUGAUGCGGGGCAGUCAGUUCAGAGCGUCUCUCCCAAAUCUCGGCACCCGACUGACCCGGAUCCAAACCAGCCAAGGGGGCGGCCCGCGCCUCGGGAGUCGCGUUGCGCCUGCGCACUCCGGCAUGCACCCCUCCCCCUGCUUAUGCUCCUCCCACCCCAGUGACUCGGCAGCGCGGCAGCCGACGACUGCGCAGACGCAGGGCGGCGGCCGCGCCUCUCCAACGCCCCGCACCCGCCCCCCUCAGAAGCACGUGCGCCUUACGUAAUUUCCUGUUAUUCUUCGGUUUGCCUCCUCCCAGUGGCGUGGAUUUGCUCCCGACCCGCUUUUGGGGCGUGCCUGCUUCCUCCUCUCUGUUAGGUGAGUGAGUAGGCGUCAUUCUUCACAGUAGUCCUCUGCCUCCACCGCCCCGGGAUCUCCUUGCGCUCGGUCCUCUACGUGGAGUCACCUAUGCAGAGGAAUUCCACGGGGCGGGGGCGAGGACAGGGUGCGGGGGUCUUUAUGGCAGACAAUCCCCGGCUGAGCGCUUGGCCAGAGUUUCUGUGAUGCUAGAAUCUGGACUGCCUGCGACCUCUCCGGGACUCGGACACCAGCCCUCGCCUCCUGGUGAUCUUUUAGGUCCUGCAGAGAAGUGAAGAGAUCUCGCUCUGUCACCCAGGCUGGAGUGAAAUGGCACAAUCUUGGCUCACUGUAACCUCCGCCCCCAGGUUCGACUGAUUCUCGUGCCUCAGCCUCCUCAGUAGCUGGGAUUACAGAUGAGCCCCAGAGAGGCGAAGCCACUUGAGCUCGUGAGUGACAGUCAGAUGUCAAGCCCUGCUCUUUCUAAAGCGUGCUGCCUUCAGAAAAGAAGAGCCAGAAGGAUGGAAAUUACUUCAGAAAGAUGAAUACCAGCUUUGAAGGAAUAAAAGCUGACGAGGAAUUGAAGGAGUUGAGGCACGAGCUUGAACAGGGUUGCAUGUUUGGCCCUUGAUUGUAAAUGCCCAUUGCUGCACCUGUUCCUGUUACUUGGGGAGUUGCAGCAGAAGGAACAGCGGCCUGGGACUCCAGAGAACUGGGUUCCCUCUCAUCCCUCCAGGGCCACCACUUCUUGUGGGCCCUUGGGCAAGUCACUGUACUUUCUGAGUCUCAGUUUCCCCAUUUGCAGAAUGGAAAUAACUACCCCGGUCUACCAACUUAGAAGAAUUGCUUUGAGGAUCUGAUAAGGUGGUGUGGAUGAUGCUGCCUUGGGGGCUUUACAGUCUGGAGCUCAAGGGACCCCUUAAGUUGGGCUUACUUAGUAACUCCAGGGGUGGGCAGAACAGGACUCCAAUGAGGGUUUUUUUCUUUUUCCCUUUUUUUUCUUUUCCUAUCUCUUAACUUUUAUCUUUAUUAUUUUACAAUGCCCUUGUAAGAUGAAACAAGUGAUGCUGAAAUAUCUUUUUCUUUUUUAACCUUUAUUUUAGAAUUGGGGUACAUGUGCAGGUUUGUUACAUAGGUACAGUGUGGGCUGCUGAGGUUUGGGAGUACGAAUGAAUUAGUCACCCCAGUGGUGAGCAUAGUGCCCGAUAAGUGGUUUUUUCAACCCUUACUCCCAUCCCUCUCCAUUCUUGUGUUCCCCAGUGUCUGCUGUUCCCAUUUUUAUGACCAUGUGUACUCAAUGUUUAGCUCCCACUUAGAAGUAAGAACAUGCCCAGCACUUUGGGAGGCCGAGGUGGGUGGAUCAUGAGGUCAAGAGAUCGAGACCAUCUUGGCUAACAAAGUGAAACCCUGUCUCUACUAAAAACAUAAAAAAUUGGCCGGGUGUGGUGGUGGGCACCUGUAGUCCUAGCUACUCGGGAGGCUGAGACAGGAGAAUCGCCUGAACCGGGGAGGUGGAGGUUGCAGUGAGCUGAGAUUGUACCACUGCACUCCAGCCUGGGUGACAGAGUGAGACUCCAUCUCAAAAAAAUAAAAAUAAAAAAAUAAAAAGAAUGUGGUGUAUGAUUUUGUUUUCUGUUUCUAUGUUAAUCCACUUAGGAUAAUGGCCUCCAGCUACAUCCACGUUGUUACAAAAGACACGAUUUCAUUCUCUUAUAUGGCUGCCUAAUAUUCCACGGUGUAUAUGUACCAUAUUUUCUUUAUCACAUCCACUGUUGAUCCACACCUGGGUUGAUUCCAUGUCUGUGCUAUUGUGAAUAGCACUGCAGUGAACAUGUGGGUGCGUGUGUCUUUGUGGUAGAACGAUUUCUUUUCCUUUGAGUAUAAUAUAUCCAUUAAUGGGAUGGGGCUGACAUACUUAAAGUAGAAACGAAAAUUGUCAUGUGCUCCCCCACGCCCCUCCAUUCUACUCUGCAGAGAGACAGCUGCCUGCUGUUUGUGGUUUAGUACACCUCCUUCCAGGCUUUAAAUAAACUA